UACGGGGGGGGCAAGCGUUGUUCGGAAUUACUGGGCGUAAAGGGCUCGUAGGCGGCCAACUAAGUCAGACGUGAAAUCCCUCGGCUUAACCGGGGAGCUGCGUCUGAUACUGGAUGGCUUGAGUUCGGGAGAGGGAUGCGGAAUUCCAGGUGUAGCGGUGAAAUGCGUAGAUAUCUGGAGGAACACCGGUGGCGAAGGCGGCAUCCUGGACCGACACUGACGCUGAGGAGCGAAAGCCAGGGGAGCAAACGGG
rnacentral:rRNA from 1 species